rnacentral:tRNA from 1 species
GGGCCAUUAGCUCAGUUGGUCAGAGCAACCGGCUCAUAACCGGUCGGUCCUGGGUUCGAGUCCCCGAUGGCCCA